rnacentral:lncRNA from 1 species
UGAGCUGGUUGGCCCUGCUGAGGGAAAUUCGCGAGCCGCUCGGGACCCUGGGCCUGGUUCCCUGCCCUCGGAAGACGACUGGCCACGGAGUCGUCGGCCGGGUGGGGGAGGAAGGACGGAGCCAGGGACCCGGGACUCACUCCACUUUGCAAGGAGCGGACGCCAACAGUAAGGCAGCUACUUCAUCUGAUGCUUCACCAGACACUGGAAUUCGUUCCAGCCCUGGAGGAAGCCCUGGCUACACUGUACUUACUGGAAGAUGGCACCAUGAGUGCAUUCUGAGCCCCAGGACGGUGGGAA